rnacentral:rRNA from 1 species
GAUGAACGCUGGCGGCGUGCCUAAUACAUGCAAGUCGAGCGAACUGACGAGAAGCUUGCUUCUCUGAUGUUAGCGGCGGACGGGUAAGUAACACGUGGAUAACCUACCUAUAAGACUGAGAUAACUUCGGUUAACCGGAGCUAAUACCGGAUAAUAUUUUGAACCGCAUGUUUCAAAAGUAAAAGACGGUCUUGCUGUCACUUAUAGAUGGAUCCGCGCUGCAUUAGCUAGUUGGUAAGGUACCGGCUUACCAAGGCAACGAUGCAGAGCCGACCUGAGAGGGUGAUCGGCCACACGGGCACAGAGAAACGGUACAGACACCUAAGGGAGGCAGCAGUAGGGAAUCUUCCGAAAUGGGCGAAAGCCGGACGGAGCAAAGCCGCGUGAGUGAUGAAGGUCUUAGGAUCGGAAAACUCUGUAAUUAGGGAAGAACAAAUGUGUAAGUAACGGUGAACAUCUUGACGGUACCUAAACAGAAAGCCACGGCUAACUACGUG